rnacentral:rRNA from 1 species
GACGAACGCUGGCGGCGUGCUUAACACAUGCAAGUCGAACGGAAAGGCCCGGCUUUUGCGGGGUGCUCGAGUGGCGAACGGGUGAGUAACACGUGAGUAACCUGCCCUUGACUUUGGGAUAACUUCAGGAAACUGGGGCUAAUACCGGAUAGGAGCUCCUGCUGCACGGUGGGGGUUGGAAAGUUUCGGCGGUUGGGGCUGGACUCGCGGCUUAUCAGCUUGUUGGUGGGGUAGUGGCUUACCAAGGCUUUGACGGGUAGCCGGCCUGAGAGGGUGACCGGCCUCCAUGGGACUAAGGGACGGCCCAGAAUCCUACGGGAGGCAGCAGUGGGAAAUAUUGCACAAUGGGCGGAAGCCUGAUGCAGCAGCGCCGCGUGCGGGAUGACGGCCUUCGGGUUGUAAACCGCUUUCGCCUGUGACGAGGCGUGAGUGACGGUAAUGGGUAAAGAAGCACCGGCUAACUACGUG